UACGUAGGUGGCAAGCGUUGUCCGGAUUUACUGGGCGUAAAGGGCGUGCAGGCGGUCUGUUAAGUUCAGGGUGAAAGCCCCCGGCUCAACUGGGGAGGGUCACUCGAUACUGAUCGACUCGAAGGCAGGAGAGGGAAGCGGAAUUCCCGGUGUAGUGGUGAAGUGCGUAGAUAUCGGGAGGAACACCAGUGGCGAAGGCGGCUUUCUGGCCUGUUCUUGACGCUGAGGCGCGAAAGCUAGGGUAGCAAACGGG
rnacentral:rRNA from 1 species